UGCAGGCAUACGUUCUUUAUGGUCUAAUGGAGUAUCUGGGCAGAAGCUUUGACCGACAGUUCCCAGCGGAUGAGGUUCUGCUACUGGAUCGUUUCUACAACAUAGAGAUGCUGAAAUCAGAUAAUGAGGACAUUGAAAUUCUUAACCCCGAGGAAGACUUUACCUUGCCUCAGAGUUUCUUUGAUAAGAAAGAGCAGUGACAGAAGUGGUCUUCGCUUCUUUUCUGGGCCUUUUUUUUGUAUAUGGUUGGAGCACUACCGAUCUUUUUUACUCUCUCAAAGAGUUUAAAAUUAAAUAAAACAAGCUUUUUGCUUUUCAUGUAGCACUGAUAUCGGUUAUGUUUGUUUGGAAGGAAAUUUUAAUAAUGCA